rnacentral:lncRNA from 1 species
CUAAGCCUUACUCCUACCACUCUCCACCACCACCGGUUCACUCACCACCUCCACCAUACGAGAAGCCUCACCCAGUGUACCACUCUCCACCUCCACCAUACGAGAAGCCACACCCAGUGUACCACUCUCCACCACCACCACCACCACAUAAGCCUUACAAGUACCCAUCACCUCCACCCCCACCACACAAGUACCCUCACCCCCACCCUCACCCAGUUUACCACUCUCCUCCACCACCACCACCUAAGAAGCAUUACAAGUACUCAUCUCCUCCACCACCAGUUCACACUUACCCUCACCCUCACCCAGUCUACCACUCUCCCCCACCACCAGUUCACACUUACCCUCACCCACACCCAGUUUACCAUUCUCCUCCACCACCACCACCACAUGAGAAGCCAUACAAAUAUGCAUCGCCUCCACCACCACCAGUUCACACUUACCCUCACCCAGUUUACCAUUCACCUCCUCCUCCAGUCCAUUCCCCACCUCCUCCACACUACUACUACAAAUCAC